UCCGAAUUGGUGUAGUGGCUAACAUUUGACGCUCUCAAAAAAGUGCCGUCAAGCCCGGGGUUCGAUUCCCCGAUUCGGAG
rnacentral:tRNA from 1 species